rnacentral:lncRNA from 1 species
AAAUAAAUAUUAUUCAGGAGUCAUCUGGAUGAAAAUGAAUCCAACUUGAACUAGCUGGAACAAUGUGAAACAUUCAUUGGUCCACAAAUGAAGGAUGGACUUUGUUUGGGAGGAGUCAAAUUUCCCAGAAACCUCUCUGUCCUUGUCCUGUCCCUGUUUCCUUCUUUGUGUCGGUUUCUUUCUUUCCUACUGCAGACUGAAUUUCUCCAUGGAGUAGCAGAUGUCACAUCAGUUUUCACCUUUCUCCUCACAGAGGAAAAGUCUCCCUCCAAGUCACUUCCUAUUCUACCCCUACCUCCCUUCAAACAUUUCUUUCAGCUCCAGUUUGAAAAAUCCUAAAACAGAACUCUGACCUAGCUUGAGUCAGAGUCCUUUCUUUUGGCCAAUCACAACCACUGGGCCUGAGAAGCUGUUUCUUUCUAGCCCUUACAGAAAGAACACAAUAAGAGAGAGGUUAGGGGUAGAUAAGAAGCUCUCUUAGAUGUGUAAUUUCUGUCUGAGCUCAAGGGCCCGAGAAACAGGAGAGCUGCUGAUAUGUCUGAAAUCAUGGUAGAAACCCAUGCUUCGGUUCAAAGGCAGGAAAAGACCAACGAUUCAUCUCAACUAGUGAGGCCAAAGUUUCUUCUUAUUCAAUCUUCACAUUCUGUUUAGGUCUUCAACUUCCACAUUAGGAGGAUCUCCUUCACUCAGUCUACUAAUUCAAAUGCUCAUCUCAUCCAGGAACAACCUCACAGGUGAUGCUCUUAAUAAUGUUGGCCAAAUGUCUGGGCACUUUGUGGUCCAGUCAAUCUGACAGAAAAAAAAUAGUGCAUCCUAACCACACAACAUACACAAAAAUAAAUUCCACAUUCGUGAAAUGUGAAAAGUAAAGUUUAUCACUUUUAAAAGAAAAUGUAGGAGAAUAUUACUAUGAUGUUGAAGGUAAGGAAGGAUUUUGUGAAUGUGAUGCAACAGGCACAAACCAUAGAAGAAAGUAUUUGAUAGAUUAAAAAUUAUACAUUAAAUAUACACUGGACAUUUUAUACAACAAAAGAAACAAUAUACAAAGUUAAAAUGGAUGCCACAAGCUUGAAUACAUUUGUAAUAUAUUUUAAGAAAAAAACUGGUAUUCAGAGAGUAAAGACAUUGUGUACAUAACUUGGACAAAAACUUUUUACACAUGCACAGACAUACACAAAUCUAUGUAAUGUUGUUUGUAGUAGCAAAAUCAUGCAAACAAUCUAAAUGUCAAACACUAGGAGAACUGAUAUAUAAAAUUUAUCAUAUUCAUACAGUCAAAUAUUUAUUGUACUAUAGUUAACAAGGAUGAACUAAGACUAUGUGUGUAACACACAUACAUCUUGAAAGCAUAAACCUGAGUGAAAACUUAACAAUAAAAACAUAGUUGAUAUUAUACCACUAAUCUAUAUAUAAAACACACACAUAAAAUUACUGUUAUUAAAGUUGAAAACAUGGAUAAGAAGGAAAAUAAUAAUUUUUAUAAUUGUGGUUAUAAUGAGAUAAACCUACAAUAAAUUUCAGCUCUAUCCGUAAUGCUUUCUCUCCUUUGAAAAAAGAUCUGGCUCAAGCAUGGCAAAAAAUAAUAACAUUUAAGAAAUCCAGAUGGUAUUUAAAUGAAUUUUUGAUGUAUCUUUUUUUGUAAUUUUCUGUAUUUAUAAACACAGUAAAUAAAUCUUUGAAGAAAUCUGUUUAAACAUUCUCAACAGAAGCAAAUGUUUUGGCUUUAAGUGGAUCCACACAAACUAGUUUUCAUUAACAUUUACUGACCUUAGGAAUUACGGGCUUUAAGUUUGAGGCAAAGAAGAUCAUGAUUUGAAUAGUUUACUUCCUGAGCUAUGUGGUUCCCCACCCCCACACGGGUACGAGAUGCUCCACAGCGUUCAGGAAUCACAUGUGACUCAGCCUUUCUUGGUCCUAAAGAAGGAUUUUCUAUGGAGUGGGAAUUCCAUCCUUUGUAGGACAAAAUGGCCACAAAAAUUUUAAAUUCAUGUUUAUUAGGUGGUCAUGUAGUUGUGUAGGAGGAAAGUUCUAAUUAAUCAAUCAUUAAUUUAUUCAACAACAAAUUGGACAUCUACUUUGGUUCUGGAAUAAACAGGGCAUGUAAGGUGGAUGUGCAAGGAAAUACUUCUCCAGUACAGUGAAAUUUUUUUAAUUAUUUUAACAGCUGUUACCUAAAUUUCUCUCAGAGAGUGAACUGCAUUUGACAAAUUAAAUUCCUUUAGGUGGAAGAUAUCCUAAGUGAAGAGCAAACAAACAAAACUCUUCCACAGGGGAAAAUGUGAAGUCCUUCUUUAAAAAAAAAAAAGUGACAGUGAGGUCCUGUUGUGGCUCAGAGGGUUAAAAACCCAAUGCUGUCUCUCUGGGGAUGUAGGUUUGAUCCCUGACCUUGCUCAAUGGGUUAAGAACCUGGUGUUGCCACAAGCUGCAGCACAGUUUGCAAAUGCAGCUCAAAUCCAGGGUUGCCAUGUAUAGGUAUAGGUUUGCAGCUGCAGCUUCCAUUCAACCCCCAUGCUGGGAACUUCCAUAUGCUGCAGGUGUGGCCAUAAAAAGAAAAAAGUAAAAGUGAUGGGGGUGGGGGAGAUUGAGGUGAGUGAAUAGAGGGCUGAGCCUUGAAUGGGGAGGAAAGGGAUACUACUAACAAGAGCAAAAGGCUAGAUACUGCAUAGAAUAAAGGGAAGUAGCCCUUUGGUAUCCUAAAAUGAAUUUUAAGAACAGUAAUAAAUACUACAAAACUGUCAUUUAUUUUUCAGAAUACUGCAGUGCAAUUCCCCACCAUGGUAUGCAUAUAUUCAGUAAGUUGCUAUCAGGACAAAUGUUUUAAGGGAGGGACAUUUUUGCAAAAAUUGGAGACACAGCCUGGUCAGGGCUGUCAGGAACAAAGACAAGCCACACAAUAACAGAGGCCCAAAGAUGUUGAGUUGAUUGUGACCAUAAAAGUCUUCAUGCGUUGAAAUACAAUACCUUUGUUUUGGAUUCCCAUUGCCUGGAAAACUGGAGGUAUGAACCAAUGCUAUCUAGAUCUCAAGAGGACAGUGGAAUCCAACUCAAGUGUAGUAACAAAGGAAUGUGACAUGUUUGCUGAGAAGAGAAAGUAAUUUCCUGUGGGAGUGAUGAAGUUUUCAUAGGGGAUAUGGUAGUUGAUCUGGGUACUAAAGUAUGCAAAUGGGUGUGCUGGAUUGACAAGGUAAGAAAGAGCAGAGGGAAGAGGAUAGGAAGAGUCAUAGGCCAACAGUGCAGUGGUUAAAAACAGAGACUCUGGGAUAGAUUGCUUUGUUUAAAUUCCAGCUCUGCCACUUACACGUUAUAUCCCCUGACUGCUACUUACCCUUUUUGUGCUUAAAUUGCUUUUCCUGUGCAAAGGGGAUAAUAACAGCAUCUCCCCCCAAAGAGUUGUUUGUAAUGACUAAAUGAAUCACCAAGGAUUGAAAGUGAGAGUGAAGGCAAGGAGAGUAGUUUCGAAGUUUCUUCAUUGAUCUGUACUGAUUCCUAAGAGGGAAGAGACAAGUUCCUCACCUAGGGCAUGGUGGAAUGAAUGAAGGAAAAUAGGCUUAUGUUAGAAUUGACAAUUUCCCAUAUGGUCUUGUUCCAGCCUUAGAAUUCAUGAUGCUCUAGACCAGAAGUCUUCAGCAGAAAUACAAUGCUAUGGUAAAAAUCUUUAUACAAAUGCAAGCCACGUAUGUAAUUUCAAAUUUUCUAAUAGCCACAGUAAAAAAAGUAAAAAUAAAUAAGUGACUUUACUUUUAAUAAUGUAUUUUAUUUAAUGCAAUAUAUCAAACAUAUUAUCCUUUCAAACUGUAAUCAAGAUUAAAAUUUAUUAGUGAGAUAUUUUAUAGUCUUCUUUUCAUAUUAAGCUUUAAAAACCUGGUGUGCAUUUUGUAUUUACACUACAUAUCAGUUCAGAGUAGUUGUAUUUCAAGUGCUCAAUAGCCAUGUGAGACUAGUAGCUACCAGACUAAGAAGGAAGAGUAAAUCUUUCUGCCAUCUUUAUUGUCUUUCAGCUUAGGAACGCUCUAGAAAGUUCUAGAAAAUCCAUCCACUCCUUGUUCUGGCCAGAGAUGAAAGGAGAUAUCUCAUUAUUUAUAAGGUCCUUUAAGCUGACAUUGAGGGUAGGCACAUUGGGCUAACUCUAUGGUAAAAAUCCUUAUUAUUUUCCAGUGGUCUGAUGUUCUGAAGCCUAGAGCUAUGAUUUUUGAGAAUUUGUCUUAUUUCCUGCAAAUUUGUAGGGCUUGCCUGCAUUGUAUUCUAACUCUACCAUAACUUAGGGUGACCUCAUAAAGAUAGAAUUAGCUUUUAUGUGGACUAAAAAGUGACCUGAAAUGUUGUGAGGGUAGUGGUGAGGUUUCUUUUUACACAGAAUCAUUUAUUUGUUAAACAAAGGUGAGGGCCUACUAUGUGUGAAGCUAGGAUUCAGAAACACAGUGCUGACCCUGAGACAUGAACCCUUCAUUCAUGAAGCUUCUGUCAAGUUGGUGUAAGAUAGAAUCAUUUUUGCUCAAGCCACCUGGUCCGGGAGGCAGAGGCAUAGACUGCAUGGCUCUGGAACGACUCUUUACUGGAAGAUUUGUUUGACUUGCAGGUGACAGAGUUGUAGGACCCUGCCUGGUUGAGGUAGGUCACUCUCUUCAAAACUCCCGUGUAGUGGGUUGAAUGGACUUUGAGUAGAUUGAAUGGAUUUUCCUUCAGAAUAUUUACGAGCCAACUCUGUGCUGGCACCUCCAUUUAGGAGUUUCCGUUGUUGCUCUGCAGGUUAAGGACCUGAUGUUGUCUCUGUGAGGAUGCGGAUUUGAUCCCUGGCCUCAUUCAGAGGGUUAGGGCAUUAUUGUAAGCUGUGGGGUAGGUCACAGAUAUGGCUCAGAUCCGGCAUUGCUGUGGCUGUGGUGUAGGCUGGCAGCUGCAGCUCUGAACAAAAAACUUCUGGAGUUCCUGUUGUGGCUCAGUGGUUAAUGAAUCUGACUAGGAACCAUGGGGUUGUGGGUUCAAUCCCUGGCCUUGCUCACUGGGUUAAGGAUCCAGCGUUGCCGUGAGCUGUGGUGUAGGUUGCAGAUGCGGCUCCGAUCCCACAUUGCUGUGGCUCUGGCGUAGGCCGGCAGCUGCAGCUCCAAUUUGACCCCUAGCCUUGGGAACCUCCAUAUGCUG